UUCGUGAUCUAUGUUGCAGACAAUAGACUAUAUUAUUUGUUGUACUGUACGUGACGCUAAGUUUGUGUCUUUUUUAUUAAGGUAAGUUUGAUGUCAAAAAUUAUAGGUAACGUUAAGUGGUUUAAUGAAUCCAAAGGAUUCGGUUUUAUCACUCCAGAAGAUGGUAGCAAAGAUGUUUUUGUACACUUUUCCGCCAUUCAGGCCAACGGAUUCAAAACUCUGACUGAAGGCCAGAAAGUAGAGUUUGAUAUUACUGAGGGUGAGAAAGGUCCAUCUGCUGCAAACGUUGUCGCAAUCUAAUUUCGAAUCCCACAUUCUUAAAACCCGUUCUCAGUAACGGGUUUUUUA
rnacentral:sRNA from 1 species